GUGAAAACACACCCGCCAGCAGGAGGGUUGUCGUUACCCCGAGGAGAACGUGUGCUUGCCCACGUCUUUUUGUGUCUCCGCAGAAUGCAGUAAAUCUCAUACAGAUGGUGUUUGUGAGAUGUGUCCACCUGUGACCCUCCCUGCAGUGCACGAGCUUAACCCAGCUCCUGUCUUCACAAAACGAGGAGGGGAAAUGCGGCAUGCGGCAUGGCUUAACACGGCUCCAGGAAGGGUUGAAAACACACACAUGCACAGAGAGACCGAGUUUUACCAGGGCUUCAGUCCACUCACAGGACAGCACGAGUCACAGCUCUGUUGCCAUGGUGUC